GACAGAGGAUGCAAGCGUUAUCCGGAAUGAUUGGGCGUAAAGCGUCUGUAGGUGGCUUUUUAAGUCCGCCGUCAAAUCCCAGGGCUUCAACCCUGGACAGGCGGUGGAAACUACCAAGCUGGAGUACGGUAGGGGCAGAGGGAAUUUCCGGUGGAGCGGGUGAAAUGCGUAGAGAUUGGAAAGAACACCGAUGGCGAAGGCACCUUACUGGGCUAGUUACUA
rnacentral:rRNA from 1 species